CAAUAGCGUAUAUUAAAGUUGUUGCAGUUAAAAAGCUCGUAGUUGGAUUUCAAGAGCCGCAUCUGGGAAAUCCGGCAUGCACUCUACGGUCAUCUGACUGUUACUGUGAGAAAAUUAGAGUGUUUCAAGCAGGCAAUUGCAGGAAUACAUUAGCAUGGAAUAACGAUGUGUCUGGAAUUUGGUUAAUUCUAGAUUACUUUUAAUAGGGACAGUUGGGGCGAUUAGUAUUUAAUUAGUUCAGAGGUGGAAAUUACUUUGGUAUUAUUUUAAAGUAACUAACGUAAUGCGAAAGACAUUUGUCCAACGGAAUGUUUUCUAUUAAAUUCAAGAAACUAAAAGAAUAGGGGAGUCAAAGAACGAUCAGAUACCA
rnacentral:rRNA from 1 species